AUUGAGCGCUGGCGGCAGGCCUAACACAUGCAAGUCGAGCGGAUGAAGGGAGCUUGCUCCUGGAUUCAGCGGCGGACGGGUGAGUAAUGCCUAGGAAUCUGCCUGGUAGUGGGGGAUAACGUCCGGAAACGGGCGCUAAUACCGCAUACGUCCUGAGGGAGAAAGUGGGGGAUCUUCGGACCUCACGCUAUCAGAUGAGCCUAGGUCGGAUUAGCUAGUUGGUGGGGUAAAGGCCUACCAAGGCGACGAUCCGUAACUGGUCUGAGAGGAUGAUCAGUCACACUGGAACUGAGACACGGUCCGGACUCCUACGGGAGGCAGCAGUGGGGAAUAUUGGACAAUGGGCGAAAGCCUGAUCCAGCCAUGCCGCGUGUGUGAAGAAGGUCUUCGGAUUGUAAAGCACUUUAAGUUGGGAGGAAGGGCAGUAAGUUAAUACCUUGCUGUUUUGACGUUACCAACAGAAUAAGCACCGGCUAACUUCGUG
rnacentral:rRNA from 1 species